GAUGAAGAACGUAGCGAAAUGCGAUAAGUAAUGUGAAUUGCAGAAUUCAGUGAAUCAUCGAGUCUUUGAACGCACAUUGCGCCCCCUGGUAUUCCGGGGGGCAUGCCUGUCCGAGCGUCAUUGCUGCCCUCAAGCACGGCUUGUGUGUUGGGCCGUCGUCCCCAUCCUAGGGGACGGGCCCGAAAGGCAGCGGCGGCACCGCGUCCGGUCCUCGAGCGUAUGGGGCUUCGUCACCCGCUCCGUAGGCCCGGCCGGCGCUUGCCGACGACCAUCAAUCUCUUUCUCCAGGUUGACCUCGGAUCAGGUAGGGAUACCCGCUGAACUUAAGCAUAUCAAUAAGCGGAGGA
rnacentral:misc_RNA from 1 species